rnacentral:misc_RNA from 1 species
UUAGUUCGCCGACCCAAGAUUUGGAUGACACGUUCUAUCUGUGGCUGUCUUCCAACAACAGGAUCCAGUUUACCCUCCUCUGCUAGCUUGGUCAGAUUAGUUCCAUACUCUUCAAGCGUAGGCAUCUUAUUGCUGCCACCUCCUGGUCCAACAGUAGCAGGAAUAUUUUCUGUGCUUUCACCAACCAUGCGAAUGACCUGUGUGCGUAUGUUGCUUGGGUCAGCACCUAAAUUCUCAAGAACACGGGCUGCUACUCCUUCACCUUCACGAAGCAGUCCAAGAAGCAAGUGCUCAGAUCCAAUAUA